rnacentral:rRNA from 1 species
AGCAGUCGCCGCGGUAAUACGUAGGGGGCAAGCGUUAUCCGGAAUAACUGGGCGUAAAGGGUGCGCAGGUGGUUUAACAAGUUAGUGGUGAAAGGCAUAGGCUCAACCAAUGUAAGCCAUUAAAACUGUUUAACUUGAGUGCAGGAGAGGAAAGUGGAAUUCCUAGUGUAGCGGUGAAAUGCGUAGAUAUUAGGAGGAAUACCAGUGGCGAAGGCGACUUUCUGGACCGCAACUGACACUGAGGCACGAAAGCGUGGGGAGCAAACAGGAUUAGAUACCCCGGUAGUCCCUGUCUCUUAUACA